UACGAAGGGGGCUAGCGUUGCUCGGAAUCACUGGGCGUAAAGCGCACGUAGGCGGCUUACUAAGUCAGGGGUGAAAUCCUGGAGCUCAACUCCAGAACUGCCUUUGAUACUGGUGAGCUUGAGUCCAGAAGAGGUGAGUGGAACUGCGAGUGUAGAGGUGAAAUUCGUAGAUAUUCGCAAGAACACCAGUGGCGAAGGCGGCUCACUGGCCCGGUACUGACGCUGAGGUGCGAAAGCGUGGGGAGCAAACAGG
rnacentral:rRNA from 1 species